UACAGAGGUCUCAACCGUUGUUCGGAUUCAUUGGGCGUAAAGGGUGCGUAGGCGGUCGUGCAAGUCGGAUGUGAAAUCUCAGGGCUCAACCCUGAAACUGCAUUCGAUACUGCGCGGCUAGAGUGCUGGAGGGGAGACUGGAAUUUACGGUGUAGCAGUGAAAUGCGUAGAUAUCGUAAGGAAGACCAGUGGCGAAGGCGAGUCUCUGGACAGCAACUGACGCUGAGGCACGAAGGCCAGGGAGCAAACGGG
rnacentral:rRNA from 1 species